CUGGCCGUGACCUGGCUCUCAUCGGGUUCUUGUCUCUACUGCAGUGUGGGAGUCUUUCAGUGAGUAGGUCGUCUCUUGGCUCUCCCAGGACAUUAAUCACUCUCAGUUUGGGCCCAUGGAAUUGUUCGGGACUGCCCAGCUCUUGCUCCUGAUGGCUAGAACAGUGCAGCUGAACGCAGCCCUCAGAGGCCCAACACAGCACUUGUCACUUGGGAGAGUUUGCUGAGAGAUUUGAUUUAAGAAUCAAACAUCAUCACAUUCACUCCCAAA